ensembl:ncRNA lncRNA:CR44166 long non-coding RNA:CR44166
CCAGGACGUGCAAACAGUUGAGCAAGCCUUUUAUGAAUUUUCAUAGAACAUUUAACACAAUCCAGGAGAACUAGCUCUUUGCCAGCAUCCAGCAUUGAUCAUUCAGUUGGCACCGUGUCUGGCCCCAAACAAGAAUUCCACAAAAGCGCCCAACUUCCCAUCUUAUCCAGCCCCCAUUUCUGGCUGCCUGAUGCCGAUGUGUCUGUUACCUGGGGCAAGCCAGAAGGCAGUUUCCAGAGAUGAGAUGCUCCGAGAGAUGAACAGCUGAUGACCGUGACUGUGCCUUUGUGCUGGCGAGACCCAGACCCCCAGGCACCCAGUCUUCCAAGUCUUUCGAGUCUUGUGGUGGCAUCUGAGGGGUGAACAUACAAAUUAAUCUUCAUCUGGCACUCGCACCCACAACACCACCCAACUAAGCUUCUGACCGCUCAAGCUCGCUAUUUGAAAGCGAUGCGAAAAAGACAAUAACAAAUCAACGUACUGAUACUAAGGGAAAGCUGCCAUGGUUUAUUGCAAUCAACUUAAAUCUUAACACUAUUAUCUGGCAAUU